rfam:Myotis lucifugus cont2.3709, whole genome shotgun sequence.
GAGACACCCUUAUGGAUCAGUACUUGCUUCAAUUGAACUUUGGUGCUCACUGAGUCUGACCCUUGAGUGUGUCACU